UGUGCCCAGGUGUGCCCAGGUUUUCCCAAAUUACCCAAUUUUCACCGUUUCCCCCCCAAAUUUUUGCCGUUUCUCCCCGUUUUUGUGCCCCCCAGGUGGGCACAGGUGUGCCCAGGUGAGGCUCAGGUGAGGCCCAGGUGUGUCCCCAGCUCUUGCCAGGUGUGCCCAGGUGUGCCCACAAAUUCUCAGAUUUUCACCGGUUUCCCCCAUUUUUGUGCCCCAGGUGUGCCCAGGUGUGUUCCUGUCCCUCUCAGGUGUGCCCAGGUGUGUUCCUGUCCCUCUCAGGUGUGCCCAGGUGUGCCCAGGUGUGCCCAGGUGUGCCCCCCAGGUGUGUCGCUCACGAUGUCGGUGCAGAGCUCGAUGAAGAGGAUGGUGAUGCAGCCCAGCGGGAGGGGCACGCUGGCUGUGAUGUAGAUCAGGUGUGCCCAGGUGUGCCCAGGUGUGCCCAGGUGUGCCCAGGUGCGCUACGGGGGUGGCAGCAGGGCACCAGCAGCCUCAUGGCCCCCAGCCCCAGCGCCGCCGCCCCCAGCGCCCGCAGCCCCAGCGCCCCCCAGGGGC